rnacentral:rRNA from 1 species
CACGUAGGGCGCAAGCGUUGUCCGGAAUUAUUGGGCGUAAAGAGCUCGUAGGUGGUUUGUUACGUCUGCCGUGAAAACCUAGGGCUUAACCCUGGGCUUGCAGUGGAUACGGGCAGACUAGAGGUAGGUAGGGGAGAAUGGAAUUCCUGGUGUAGCGGUGAAAUGCGCAGAUAUCAGGAGGAACACCGGUGGCGAAGGCGGUUCUCUGGGCCUUACCUGACACUGAGGAGCGAAAGCGUGGGGAGCGAACAGG